CUUUGACCUGAACUCAGUCGAGAGCACCCGCUGAACUUAAGCAUAUCAGUAAGCGGAGGAAAAGAAACUAAACAGGAUUCCCCCAGUAACGGCGAGUGAACAGAGAAAUGUCCAUCGCUAAAUCAUUUUGUCUCAGGCAUUAUGAGGUGUAGCGUAUAAGCCGUAAUUUUUGAUCUUUUGUCUCAAACAAGUCCCCUUGACAGGGGUUCCACAGAAGGUGCAAGUCCUGUACAUUGAGAUAAUUGAUCGAUAUCUGCGUGCUUUAGAGUCGGGUUGUUUGGGAUCGCAGCCCAAAGUCGGUGGUAAACUUCAUCUAAGACUCAAUAUUGCUACGAGACCGAUAGC
rnacentral:rRNA from 1 species